rnacentral:rRNA from 1 species
CCUACGGGUGGCAGCAGUGAGGAAUAUUGGUCAAUGGGCGAGAGCCUGAACCAGCCAAGUCGCGUGAGGGAGUACUGCCCUAUGGGUUGUAAACCUCUUUUGUCGGGGAGCAAAAGCCGGACGUGUCCGGCUGUGAGAGUACCCGAAGAAAAAGCAUCGGCUAACUACGUGCCAGCAGCCGCGGUAAUACGGAGGAUGCGAGCGUUAUCCGGAUUUAUUGGGUUUAAAGGGUGCGCAGGCGGAUUUUUAAGUCAGCGGUAAAAUCGUGGGGCUCAACCCCAUCCAGCCGUUGAAACUGGGGAUCUAGAGUGUGCGAGAGGUAUGCGGAAUGCGUGGUGUAGCGGUGAAAUGCAUAGAUACCACGCAGAACCCCGAUUGCGAAGGCAGCAUACCGGUGCACAACUGACGCUCAGGCACGAAAGCGUGGGUAUCGAACAGGAUUAGAUACCCGAGUAGUC